UGAAAAUCAGCUUCAGUAUCAGCAGCUUGUUCACACGUCAGACUAAACUAUUGCUGGAGUACGUUUAAGACAGGACAAUGGCAGUUGUGCAGAAAAUGACUCUGGGGAUAGGAAUUGGUCUCAUGGCUGCUGGUGUUGGAGUAUGGAUUGGUGGCACUCGUGGCAUACUGGCAGGUAGCGCUGUGGGAGGCGUGGCUCUGGUUUGUGCGAAUGCAGAUGUUAAGCCUCUAUCUGAAAUUCUCAAGCCUCUCUCAGGAAAGAAGAAAGCGAUACUCUUGGAUCUGAUUAUAUCACUGACCACGAUGACUUUUGAUCUCUUGAGUUUGGAGGGUUCUGAUAACAUACAGCUGAGCAAGAAAGAAAUCAUUAGAUGUGUCAUUUUAGGAGCACAGUCUAGGGGAAUUCCAGACCAGGUCCUGAAACUAAUAAGUGGGUGAUGAGGAAGUGGCAUUAUACUGAGAAUUAUUAUGGCCACAGCGUAUAUACAUGAUGUAAUAGUAAUAAAGUCAUGAAUUAUUUUAAAUACUUAAAUCUUUAAAUAUCUGUAUUUUAUCCUAUUGAUGAUUUUGAAUAUUUUGUACAUCUUUGAAUGAGAUACUUUGCAAUAUAUCUAAGAAUUUGUUGCUUUUUUUUUAGCAGCAUAGUUUAUUAGGUUGCUUUCCCUGGUCUUUCUCGUGUAAGUCCUGACUCUGAUGACUCUUGAGGAAGCGUUACACAAAUGCUGAAUAUUACACAGAUGACACUAACUUCAUAUAAUUAUAUAAAAAA